rnacentral:misc_RNA from 1 species
AUUUAUUUAUUUAUUUAUUAUUUUUUUAAUGGACAUGGCCAUGUACUGUAACCUAUGUGCCUUUAGUGUUUAUUACUGCACUGUCUAACAACUAACAUGAUUAACAGUGAUGGUCUAUGAUGGGUCGAGGGAGGCGUCUGGCCCUUGGCAUCUUUGUCCUGCUGGUGGUCGACGUCAUUUGGGUGGCUUCAUCAGAAUUGUCGGAGUAUAUCUUCAAUGAUACCGGCUUCAAUAAACCUUUUUUCAGUACAUACUUAAAGACCAGUAUGUUUUCACUAUAUUUGCUGGGAUUUAUAUUUUGGAGCCCCUGGAGACACCAAUGUGCCCAAAGAAACCACAAUGAGAGUAUUUACCAGGUAAGUUAUUUAUUGCAAUUCAUAUUAGAUUAUUUUUUUGAUAUUUUUUAUAUGUGAUAUGGAAAUAAAUUUAUUUUAGGGUAAUUGUGUUGCUCUUUUUUCUGUGUUAACUAGACUUGAGUCAUGCUAUACAUACUGUAGAAUAUUUACUGAUUACAAAAGGCAUUGGUUAUUCCUUUUAUUUCCAAGGCCUCCAGACCACCAUUUUAUUUCAUAACUUUGCCUUCUCUUUCCCCCUUAUCCCCUUCACUUCCUCUUGUGCUGAAUAGAAUCAUCUGGCAUUAGCCAAAUGAAAUAUUUAAGAGACAAUGAAGGGGUUAAUACAGUAAAACCUUUAUCGUUUAUCAAUCAAUACUUUACAAAUUGGCUAGUUCAUACAUGCAGUUCAAUGUGUGUUAUGUUCACCAAAAAUUAAAUAUUUUACACUUCCAUCAAUAUUGCAAAAUAUAAAAUUAAAAAUAUAAGAAAAUGUGUUCAACAAAAAACAAUAGCAAAGCAAGUAGUGAUGUACAGUAUGUUCAUUGUACAGCCCAUUCUUCCUGCAUCACCUGAAGAGGCACUGGGAGGGAGUGUAUAUUAAUAUGAAGUGAAAAAUGUAUUGUCAAAGCACUUGGUCAGUAAUGUGUCCAAAUUUAAGCUUUCUAGCUCAAAAAUUUCCAUAAAUAACAUCCAGACAACAUUAAGUGUUGAGUUGAGUAUGCUUCUAAUAUUCUCUUGCUAUUACAGGAAGUGGAUUCAAUGGAGGAUGAAGAUUUACCGCUGUCAGAUGUUUGACGAGAGACAGGCGCACCCCUCCACCUGUGCCCAUCUUCACUUUGGACCAGCUGGCAUCUAGUGUUGCGAGAGACAGUGAUGCGAAUGCUCAACUGACACAUUUGGUCCUGUGGCACUAUUUACCCAUUCAACAAGCUAGAACGAUUUAUAACAACAAUGAUGAAAAGAGUGAACCAAAGUAUGUUCCUCUGAAACUACAAGAAUUGCAAGAAAAAAGUUCUGAUGGAGAAUCUGAUGACUCUUCAGUAAAGUCCGUCCGCUUCAGCAAAUUGACAGAGGUUCGGCAAAUGUCAGAAAACGAGGCAGUUGAUGCCAUGAUGUCUCGCCUGUCUUUUUCUGCCUCUGUCCGUGCUGAACAACUGGCUAUGCAGGCAGCAAAUAAAUUAUCUGUUAAGGAAGUUAUGAAAAUAUCUAGUAUAUUUUGUUUAUUGGUAAGUAUAGAUGUUGAUUUUAUCUCGGAUAUUCACUUGGCUUUUUAUAUUAAAUCUCCUUCAUUCUGUGUGUGUGUGUGAAAGUGAGAGAUAUUAAUUAUUAUUAAAUCCUUGCCAAGUUGCUCUCACAAUAUUGGGAGUCAAGUAAACCCCCCAUAACUCAGCACAUAUGGGACCGAGGCCUUGCCAAUUAAUCAGAAUUUGCCGGCAAGUAUUAUUUCACAGUCACAGUAAAUAAUUGUGCUGACAAGCAAAAGAUUACACUUUAUACAUGACACUUAACACUAUCUGUACGGUAACGCUUCAUGGGCGCUUAAUCACUGUCAGAAGGUCUACCAGUGACA